AAGUCGUAACAAGGUUUCCGUAGGUGAACCUGCGGAAGGAUCAUUAACGAAUUAUGAACGUCUUCGGUUGAGCUGGCCUUUACCGGCAUGUGCCCACCGUCGUGCGCUUCUUUCCAAAUUCAACACCUGUGCACCUUUGUAGUCUUUGUUGGGAGUUGAAAGCGGGUCUCACGAUUCGCUUUCUCUUUCGACGGACUAUGUAUUUCAUACCCCCAACCAAUAAAGACCAUAGAAUGUAAAACAAGUCGACUUGUGGGCUGAGGCGUAAACAACCUCGUCCCUUGACACAAAACAAAACUAUAUACAA
rnacentral:misc_RNA from 1 species